rnacentral:rRNA from 1 species
UACAGAGGUCUCAAGCGUUGUUCGGAUUCAUUGGGCGUAAAGGGUGUGUAGGUGGCGCCGUAAGUCGGGUGUGAAAUUUCGGGAGCUUAACUUCCGAAACUGCAUUACGACUAACUGCGGUGCUUGAGGACUGGAGAGGAGACUGGAAUUCAUGGUGUAGCAGUGAAAUGCGUAGAGAUCAUGAGGAAGACCAGUGGCGAAGGCGGGU